rnacentral:rRNA from 1 species
UACGUAGGGGGCAAGCGUUGUCCGGAAUCAUUGGGCGUAAAGAGCGUGUAGGCGGCCGGGUAAGUCCGGUGUGAAAACUCGAGGCUUAACCUCGAGAUGUCAUCGGAAACUAUUCGGCUAGAGUCCGGAAGAGGAGAGUGGAAUUCCUGGUGUAGCGGUGAAAUGCGCAGAUAUCAGGAAGAACACCUAUGGCGAAAGCAGCUCUCUGGGACGGUACUGACGCUGAGACGCGAAAGCGUGGGGAGCGAACAGG